GAUCUAAGAUUAGCCAUGCAUGUCUAAGUAUAAGCCCUUGUACGGCGAAACUGCGAAUGGCUCAUUAAAACAGUUAUCGUUUAUUUGGUAAUCAUCUACUACAAGGAUAACUGUAGUAAUUCUAGAGCUAAUACUUGCGUUGUACCCGACUUAACGGAAGGGGUUGCAUUUAUUAGAUACAAGCCAAUCGGAGGUUUACCUUCGUUAUUUGGUGAUUCAUAAUAACUAAGCGAAUCGCAUGGGCUUGCCCGGCGAUAGACCUUUCAAGUUUCUGACCUAUCAGCUAUUGACGGUAGGGUAUUGGCCUACCGUGGCUAUGACGGGUAACGGAGAAUCAGGGUUCGAUUCCGGAGAGGGAGCCUGAGAAACGGCUACCACAUCUAAGGAUGGCAGCAGGCGCGCAAAUUACCCAAUCCUGACACAGGGAGGUAGUGGCAAGAAAUAACAAUGCAGGGCUUCACAGUCUUGCAAUUGGAAUGAGUAGAUUUUAAAUCUCUCUACGAGUAACAAUUGGAGGGCAAGUCUGGUGCCAGCAGCCGCGGUAAUUCCAGCUCCAAUAGCGUAUAUUAAAGUUGUUGCGGUUAAAAAGCUCGUAGUUGAAUCUCUGCCAGGGACGACCUACCCACCUUAGGGUGCGUGUUAGAGUUGACCGUGGCAUCCUCCUAGUGACGUCCAUGCUUUACUGUGUGGUUCGUACUAGGACUUUUACUUUGAGGAAAUUAGAGUGUUUCAAGCAGGCAUAUGCCUUGAAUAUAUUAGCAUGGAAUAAUAGUUUAGGACUUCGGUUCUAUUUUAUUGGU
rnacentral:rRNA from 1 species